UCUCCGUAGGUGAACCUGCGGAGGGAUCAUUACUGAGUGAGGGCGCAAGCCCGACCUCCAACCCCAUGUAAAUCAUACCAUGUUGCCUCGGGGGCGACCCUGCCGUUCGCGGCGUGGGGCCCCCGGAGCCCAUCAAACCCUGCGUAACUAAGUCGUCGGAGUUUAAACAAAUUAAACAAAACUUUCAACAACGGAUCUCUUGGUUCGGGCAUCGAUGAAGAACGCAGC
rnacentral:misc_RNA from 1 species